rnacentral:rRNA from 1 species
CCUACGGGGGGCAGCAGUGGGGAAUAUUGGACAAUGGGGGGAACCCUGAUCCAGCCAUGCCGCGUGUGUGAAGAAGGCCCUCGGGUUGUAAAGCACUUUCAGUGAGGAAGAACGCCUGGUGGUUAAUACCCAUCAGGAAAGACAUCACUCACAGAAGAAGCACCGGCUAACUCCGUGCCAGCAGCCGCGGUAAUACGGAGGGUGCGAGCGUUAAUCGGAAUUACUGGGCGUAAAGCGCGCGUAGGUGGCUUGAUAAGCCGGUUGUGAAAGCCCCGGGCUCAACCUGGGAACGGCAUCCGGAACUGUCCAGCUAGAGUGCAGGAGAGGAAGGUAGAAUUCCCGGUGUAGCGGUGAAAUGCGUAGAGAUCGGGAGGAAUACCAGUGGCGAAGGCGGCCUUCUGGACUGACACUGACACUGAGGUGCGAAAGCGUGGGUAGCAAACAGGAUUAGAUACCCUGGUAGUC